UACGUAGGGUGCGAGCGUUAAUCGGAAUUACUGGGCGUAAAGCGUGCGUAGGCGGUUCGUUAAGUUCGUUGUGAAAGCCCCGGGCUUAACCUGGGAAUGGCAUUUGGGACUGCAAGGCUUGAGUGCGGCAGAGGAGACUGGAAUUCCUGGUGUAGCAGUGAAAUGCGUAGAUAUCAGGAGGAAUACCGAUGGCGAAGGCAGGUCUCUGGGCUGACACUGACGCUCAUGCACGAAAGCGUGGGGAGCAAACAGG
rnacentral:rRNA from 1 species